rnacentral:piRNA from 1 species
UCUUCAAAGUGGUUUGGACCUUAGUUAC